UCAGGGGUUGUGUCCCCCCGUCUCCUGGGGUCUGUUCCCUUCUCCUAUAAUUCCUUCCCCUUCUGUCUCUCCCUGGCAUAUGACCACAGAUGUUGCACCCAAUAAACAAAACUUUCCAACUCUUUCCUCAUCAAACUUAUUUACCAACUUGUACAGUGUGAUCAAAUCUCCUCUCUCCCUUCUUUGUUCCAGUGUCGUCAAGUCCAUCUCCCUCAAUCUGUCUUCAUACGUCAUAUUCGAGAGUUCUGGGACCAUUUUGUUGCAAUUCUCUGUCUUGAGUCCAACAUCAUAAUCUUCCUUUGCAUAGUUUUUCCUUUUUUCCUUAUAUGCCUCAUCUUGGUAUUCAAAUCCUUCCAUAGUUUUCAUCUGUCAUAGUUGAUGCCAUUCUUUCCUAAGGGGCACUCGUGACUGACUCCUUCAUCUAACUCAACAUUUUUUGUGAAAAUUAGGUCAAGUCUUGAUGGUUGGUCAUCUCCUCUUAGCCUUGUUUCUCCUUUAACCCACUGCAUCAACAGAUUAUCACAUCAGGUGUGUGUGUGUGUGUGUGUGUGUGUGUGUGUGUGUGUGUGUGUGUGUGUGUGUGUGUGUGUGUGUUUAGCUAGUUGUUGUAUUUACCUAGUUGUAGUUUUAUAGGGCCUGGGCUUGACGUUCGUGUGGUCCCGUCUCUGUAUCUACAUUUAUCCAACUUUUCCUUGAAGCUUUGCACACUCCUUUCUGAUACUACAUCCUCACUUAGUCUGUUCCAAACCUCUGUACUUCUUUGCGGGAAGCUAUAUUUCUUUAUGUCUCUCAAGCAUCUUCCCUUCCUCAAUUUUUGACUGUGUCCUCUUGUGUUCCUGGUGGUAAUUUCUUCUUUUAGUGGUAACUCCUCGUUGUCUACUUCUUCCAUUUUGCUCAAUAAUUUGUAGAUUUGUAUUAGGUCUCCCAUUUCUCUUCUUUGUUCUAGUGUUGGUAAGUCCAUUUCCUUUAGUCUCUCCUCGUAUGUCAAUCCCUGGAACCAUUUUUGUUGCCAUCUUUUGUAUUCUUUCUAGUUUCUUGAUGUGUUUCUUCUUAUGGGGAGACCACACUGCCGCUGCAUGUGUGUGUGUGUGUUUGUGUGUGUGUGUAAGAUUGACUGACUGAUGAAUGAAUAACUGCGAUUAAUUAGGCUGGUAUUACAAGACACUUUCCCUGCUCACAUCAGCUACUUCUAAAGGUCAAAGGGGGAUAUCAGUCAGGUUCUAAUGAGUGUUUUUCAGGCUCAUGGUACAGAAGAAGGGUUAAACUACCACCAGGGUCAUAAAACCACCCCUGGAAAUGCCCACAACUCCUGCGAAAGCCUUGUCAAAUAUGUGUUCUUGGGCGGCUAAAUGUCUUAUAAUACGACCCUAAGUAAAUAACUUCCUGAUGGAGUGGAUGAUUGACUUGGCAUCUUGUAGCUUUACUCUCAGCCAUUUCAAGUUCCCGACUGAUGUACUAACACCCUCAGAUUGGCUACAGUGAAGGUCGUGGCAGAGAGUGUACUCAAACUCCUACUGUGAGCUACUCCUGAUGCCUGCGCCCUCACCACCCCUGUGAAGGACGCCCAGCUGACCCAACCCUCCUCGUGUGCCCCUGAGAGCUCCCUGCAGCACAGCGAGUCUCUUCUUGGACGGCUCAGAGGCACAGAAGAUGUAGCCAGACUUGCCGGCCAAACCCGAGGGU